GAUGAAGAACGUAGCGAAAUGCGAUACGUAAUGUGAAUUGCAGAAUUCAGUGAAUCAUCGAGUCUUUGAACGCACAUUGCGCCCCCUGGUAUUCCGGGGGGCAUGCCUGUCCGAGCGUCAUUGCUGCCCUCAAGCACGGCUUGUGUGUUGGGCCUCCGUCCUCCUCCCGAGGGACGGGCCCGAAAGGCAGCGGCGGCACCGCGUCCGGUCCUCGAGCGUAUGGGGCUUCGUCACCCGCUCUUGUAGGCCCGGCCGGCGCUUGCCGACACAUCAAUCUUUUUUCCAGGUUGACCUCGGAUCAGGUAGGGAUACCCGCUGAACUUAAGCAUAUCAAUAAGCGGAGA
rnacentral:misc_RNA from 1 species